rnacentral:rRNA from 1 species
GAUGAACGCUGGCGGCGUGCCUAAUACAUGCAAGUCGAGCGAACAGACGAGGAGCUUGCUCCUCUGACGUUAGCGGCGGACGGGUGAGUAACACGUGGAUAACCUACCUAUAAGACUGGGAUAACUUCGGGAAACCGGAGCUAAUACCGGAUAAUAUAUUGAACCGCAUGGUUCAAUAGUGAAAGACGGUUUUGCUGUCACUUAUAGAUGGAUCCGCGCCGCAUUAGCUAGUUGGUAAGGUAACGGCUUACCAAGGCAACGAUGCGUAGCCGACCUGAGAGGGUGAUCGGCCACACUGGGACUGAGACACGGUCCAGACUCCUACGGGAGGCAGCAGUAGGGAAUCUUCCGCAAUGGGCGAAAGCUUGACGGAGCAACGCCGCGUGAGUGAUGAAGGUCUUCGGAUCGUAAAACUCUGUUAUUAGGGAAGAACAAAUGUGUAGGUAACUAUGCACGUCUUGACGGUACCUAAUCAGAAAGCCACGGCUAACUACGUG